UGCUAAACACGGGCACCUUUUUGAGCGCGACUACAUUCACUACAUUCGCAUCGUUCAUCGCAACGAUCCUCCAGAUGUACAGUGGAUUGCAAUAGUAU